rnacentral:rRNA from 1 species
UUCCAGGGCCCUACGGGGUGCAGCAGGCGCGAAACCUCCGCAAUGUGAGAAAUCGCGACGGGGGGAUCCCAAGUGCCAUUCUUAACGGGAUGGCUUUUCAUUAGUGUAAAGAGCUUUGGAAUAGGGCUCGGCAA